UUGGCCCUGAAUCAAGGCCGUCGGUUUGCUGUAGCCGUUGGUUUCAAACAGGAGCCCAAAGGAAUUUUCUUCCUGUGGUCCGCUGGCCGAGCCAGAGCAUCUCCGGGGUGCGGCCAGGUCACUUGGAAGUGACAAGG
ensembl:snoRNA